GCAGCCUGAUGCAGCCAUGCCGCGUGUGUGAAGAAGGCCUUCGGGUUGUAAAGCACUUUCAGUCAGGAGGAAAGGGUGUGAGUUAAUACCUCAUAUCUGUGACGUUACUGACAGAAGAAGCACCGGCUAACUCCGUGCCAGCAGCCGCGGUAAUACGGAGGGUGCGAGCGUUAAUCGGAAUUACUGGGCGUAAAGCGUACGCAGGCGGUUUGUUAAGCGAGAUGUGAAAGCCCCGGGCUCAACCUGGGAACUGCAUUUCGAACUGGCAAACUAGAGUGUGAUAGAGGGUGGUAGAAUUUCAGGUGUAGCGGUGAAAUGCGUAGAGAUCUGAAGGAAUACCGAUGGCGAAGGCAGCCACCUGGGUCAACACUGACGCUCAUGUACGAAAGCGUGGGGAGCAAACGGGAUUAGAUACCCCGGUAGUCCACGCCGUAAACGAUGUCUACUAGAAGCUCGGAACCUCGGUUCUGUUUUUCAAAGCUAACGCAUUAAGUAGACCGCCUGGGGAGUACGGCCGCAAGGUUAAAACUCA
rnacentral:rRNA from 1 species